AUACGGAGGAUCCAAGCGUUAUCCGGAUUUAUUGGGUUUAAAGGGUGCGCAGGCGGAAGAUUAAGUCGGCGGUGAAAUUUUGCAGCUCAACUGUAAAAGUGCCAUCGAUACUGGUUUUCUUGAGUGUGGAUGAAGUAGGCGGAAUUUGUGGUGUAGCGGUGAAAUGCAUAGAUAUCACGAGGAACUCCGAUUGCGCAGGCAGCGUACUAGGCCAUAACUGACGCUCAGGCACGAAGGCGUGGGGAUCAAACAGGAUUAGAUACCCUGGUAGUCCACGCAGUAAACGAUGAUUACUAGCUGUUUGCGAUACACAGUAAGCGGCUUAGCGAAAGCGUUAAGUAAUCCACCUGGGGAGUACGUUCGCAAGAAUGAAACUCAAAGGAAUUGACGGGG
rnacentral:rRNA from 1 species